GACGUAGGGCGCGAGCGUUGUCCGGAUUUAUUGGGCGUAAAGAGCUCGUAGGCGGCUUGUCGCGUCGACUGUGAAAUCCCGCGGCUCAACCGCGGGUCUGCAGUCGAUACGGGCAGGCUAGAGUUCGGUAGGGGAGACUGGAAUUCCUGGUGUAGCGGUGAAAUGCGCAGAUAUCAGGAGGAACACCGAGUGGCGAAGGCAGGUCUCUGGGCCGAAUACUGACGCUGAGGAGCGAAAGCGUGGGGAGCGAACAGG
rnacentral:rRNA from 1 species